UCCGAUAUGGUCCAGUAUCUAAGAUUUUUCGCUCUCACCGAGAGGGCCAGGAUUCGAUUCCCUGUAUCGGAG
rfam:Conidiobolus coronatus NRRL 28638 unplaced genomic scaffold CONCOscaffold_24, whole genome shotgun sequence.